UCCUUACAGCUCAGUUGGUAAAGAAUCUGCUUGCAAUGCAGGAGACCCAGGUUCAAUUCCUGGGUUGAGAA
rnacentral:tRNA from 1 species